CAGCAGCCGCGGGAAAACGGAGGGUGCAAGCGUUAAUCGGAAUUACUGGGCGUAAAGCGCACGCAGGCGGUCUGUCAAGUCAGAUGUGAAAUCCCCGGGCUUAACCUGGGAACUGCAUUUGAAACUGGCAGGCUAGAGUCUUGUAGAGGGGGGUAGAAUUCCAGGUGUAGCGGUGAAAUGCGUAGAGAUCUGGAGGAAUACCGGUGGCGAAGGCGGCCCCCUGGACAAAGACUGACGCUCAGGUGCGAAAGCGUGGGGAGCAAACAGGAUUAGAUACCCGCGUAGUCCCUGUCUCUUAUAA
rnacentral:rRNA from 1 species